rnacentral:lncRNA from 1 species
CAUCGAGUGGAGAAGCUGCUUUCAAAGAGAUUAUCUAAGGUGAUUGUGUGUGUAAGUGGAGAUUGGAAAAGGAAAGAAAAUAUCGUGUUGAAGACAAAUGACGUUUUCCAUUAAGCAAAUAGGAUUUUCUUGGAGAAGAAAUGUUACUUGGAGAGGAAUAAGAAGUUUCCUUAUAUGGGAAUGAAAGUUCAUUAAGGUGCAUUUAAUGAACUUGGAGAGCAAGUCUACGGUUUAUAUAUAAGGAGGGAUGUGCCCUUAUGAGAAAGA